GAUGAACGCUGGCGGCGUGCCUAAUACAUGCAAGUCGAGCGAACAGAUAAGGAGCUUGCUCCUUUGACGUUAGCGGCGGACGGGUGAGUAACACGUGGAUAACCUACCUAUAAGACUGGGAUAACUUCGGGAAACCGGAGCUAAUUCCGGAUAACAUAUUGAACCGCAUGGUUCAAUAGUGAAAGGCGGCUUUGCUGUCACUUAUAGAUGGAUCCGCGCCGUAUUAGCUAGUUGGUAAGGUAACGGCUUACCAAGGCAACGAUACGUAGCCGACCUGAGAGGGUGAUCGGCCACACUGGAACUGAGACACGGUCCAGACUCCUACGGGAGGCAGCAGUAGGGAAUCUUCCGCAAUGGGCGAAAGCCUGACGGAGCAACGCCGCGUGAGUGAUGAAGGUCUUCGGAUCGUAAAACUCUGUUAUCAGGGAAGAACAAAUGUGUAAGUAACUGUGCACAUCUUGACGGUACCUGAUCAGAAAGCCACGGCUAACUACGUG
rnacentral:rRNA from 1 species